GUGGGGGGUGGGGGAGGAAACUUUUUUUUUUUUAACUGUCCGGCAAUUUUGCUGAAGCUACCUGUCCAGGUUGGCCCUGGGUCGUGCCUCUCGGCACCGAACUGAGCGCCUGAGCCUCGGCAGUGCGGGCGGUGGGUCGGCUCGGAUGACCGGUUACCCCCGGUCUUGGGUCCUUUGCACCGCGGCGAUCCGACCGCCUCAGAGCGGCGCGCAGGUAGCCGUGUGGCGCCACCUUGUGGCCGGAGCCCCGGAGCCGAUCCAGAGCAGCGCGCGCCCGGGCCUUCGCGGUAGGAACGCAGCCCUGGCUAGCAGGACUGCGACCACUCCCGGGGAGUUGAGGACAAAGCCGAAGCCCAGGGUGGCGGGGAGGAGGUGGGCAGCCACAACCCCAAGGGAGAUGGGCCUUGGACCUUAGCCUGGAGGAUCUUCUCCGCUAAGGAGGGAGACCGAGGAGGCUCGCUCGUGGUCCGCGCAGCCCAGGCCUCCCACCCUGACCGCGCCUCCUCGGAGCCCGGAGCUCCACCUUUGAUCAAGUGGGAAUUAACCUGAGAAGGGGGUGCUGCCUAAGGACUUUUAAAACGAACUCUUUAACAUUUCCAAGUACUUACCCUUCAUGUAAGUGUGUACAUAAUCUAUUUCUUUAUAUCCUCACUUCUUUCCAGAAAGGGUAUUAAAGCUGGAAUGACGUCAUAUAAUGCCAUUUUUUUUUUCCCUCACGACAGCCCUCUUAGGCUUGUGAAGAACGCGUGUGCUGGCCCCCAGAGCCUGGUCCUGCCGAGCUGCUCCCUGGUGCUGGGGAUAGGUGGCACAACUGUAGAGACAGAAGAGUAUUUUGGGGGCCUGGCAGGGGGCAGAGUGUUCACGGUGGUCCAGAAGGUGCAGCCGCAUCAGGGCAGGAGGCUGGGAACCGCUUUCUCUCGCCCAUAAACCUGCUAAGAAGAUCUGGAAGGCCUGCGGAACGUCCCACCUGUACCAGGUGGGCCGGCGGGACUGCAUUUGCUACCGGACCAAGAAGGCAAAUCUCCCUGGCACGUGCUCCCUUUCCUAGUGUCUGCACAGCUGCAAGCUAAGGAAGCUCUUCGCUGGGUCCUGCAGCAUACAGGCCGCGGGUGAGGUGCAGUCGCCUCCUGUCACAGGCAGCAGGGUUUUCAUGCCACAGAGGGAGGGCAGCCCCUCCAAGGCAGGGCCUCACCGCUCAUCCAGACCUGUCUGAAGAUUCUGCAACGAACGCCCAAGUCCAUGGAUGCUUCCCUGGCCAAGGCCUGGAUCGGCCUCUAGUGGACUUUGUGAGUACUGUGUUUUGUGCGUACGGGCACGCCUCCCCACAAAGGGUGAGGUCAUUGAUUAGGUCAUCCACUGAGGAAGAAGAACAUUUCUCAAAAUUGCGCCUGAGAUCUGAGCAGGGAAACUUGAGCAGGACUGAAUCUCUAGGCAGCUACUACAGUGUUUCCCUCUGUGGGCAUUUGAUAGAUAUUUGGUGCUUGCUUCUCUUCUGCUCCCACAUAAAACCUCAAGAUUCCAUCCUCCAAGGAGUCGGUUCCGCCUGUCACUUCACUCCAAGCUCAGCUUCAGAGAUAAGGCUUCAGAAGAGAAAUGCGUCUUCCCACAUAUGGCUCUGUUUUGAACUUAAAAACAGAUUUGAUGGCAGGAAACUGAAGCUCUUGGGAAGGCGGAAGUUGCACGUGGUCUCACAGUCAACUGUGCUGAAAUAGGAGGCCAGGAACCACCUCUGUUGGAGGAGGACCCACCACGCAUCCCUUCAAGAAUGCCAAGACGUGAAACAACAAUUUCAACCAGCUUGGACCAAAAAGAGAAGCCAAGAUGGGGCUGAGAAACCAAUGCAGGCAGGCCCAGGGACCCAGGAGUCAGGGACCAGGUGCCACCAGAUGCUUGCUCCGAUUCGUGUUGCUGCUGUCUUCUCUGUGCCUCAACUCUGUCCUCUGUCACUGCAGGCAGCUUCCUCCCAAGGUGAUCUCGAUGGGAUAACCACACUGGUUUGUUUAGUAAACACUGAGACCAACUCCACCAUCCAGAGACCUGACAGACAAAUGGCCUGAGAUAGGGCUGGGAAAGUUUUGCUUCUGGUUGGGACUUCAGGAAGAGUUUGUUUUUUUUUUUUCCCAAGGGAACAAGCCCUUGAAUCUAGGAGGCAGAAGUUGUGGUGAACGGAGAUUGCGCCAUUGCACUCCAGCCUGGGCAAAAAGAGUGAAACUCUGUCUCAAUAAAUAAAUAAGAAAUGUA